UGGGGAAUAUUGGACAAUGGGGGCAACCCUGAUCCAGCCAUGCCGCGUGCGUGAAGAAGGCCUUAGGGUUGUAAAGCGCUUUCAGCGGGGACGAUGCUGACGGUACCCGCAGAAGAAGCCCCGGCUAACUCCGUGCCAGCAGCCGCGGUAAUACGGAGGGGGCAAGCGUUGUUCGGAAUUACCGGGCGUAAAGGGCGCGUAGGCGGCACAUCAAGUCAGAGGUGAAAGCCCCGGGCGCAACCUGGGAAUUGCCUUUGAAACUGAUGAGCUAGAGUCCGGAAGAGGAUAGCGGAAUUCCCAGUGUAGAGGUGAAAUUCGUAGAUAUUGGGAAGAACACCAGUGGCGAAGGCGGCUAUCUGGUCCGGUACUGACGCUGAGGCGCGACAGCGUGGGGAGCAAACAGGACUCGAUACCCGUGUAGUCC
rnacentral:rRNA from 1 species